CUCCCACUCGGUCCAUCUUGGAAAAAACGCUUAGAAAAAACUCUACGAAAAUAAACCAGCAGUUUGGUCGCACGUACGAGCGAUUCGUCCUGACCUAUAAUCAUGGUGAAGGAACGACGACCCCUCGAUCUAUUCGCGACGCGAACCCCGCCGCCUGGCAGAUCCCAGGCGCUAGCCGCGGAUCCCUUUGCCGGCUCCGAGGGGUCCUAAAGGAGGCGCCGCCCGCCGAGGUCCUAAAGGAGGCGCCGCCGCCAUCGUUGUGAACCUCCGGGUCGCCAUCGGGACACCUCUGCUGAGGUACGCCUUCGCCUUCGCACGCUGCCGACCUCCCAGAGGAAACGCCGCCAUCAUCGACCCCCAAGAGGAGACGCCGCCACGACCUGCGCUAAACCCUAGGCAUCAACCACCGUGCUCCCGUCGUCUGGUUCCUCCUGCGUUCGCCACCAUGCGGUCGCCUUCCUCCCUUAGGUUCUUGUACGGAACAUACCACCAGACCCCGAUGAAUCAGUUAGCAAGCUUGUGGAACAUUUCUUCCUUGUCAAUCAUCCUGAUCAUUAUCUGAAACAUUAGGUAAUCACUAAAUUUUGGAACAUCUCCCAUUUGAAGAAUCAUCUGCAAAUUCAAAUGUAAGGAAGUGUGCAGUGCAAGCAAUUAUCAGGUGUUGGCUGCCCAGGAAGAAGGAAAGGUCAGUCCAGGCAUGACAUUUAACUCUAAUAAUGGAGGUACAUAGUGCCUACUGCUCCCUUGUCCCUUGCUACCGGCUGGGGAUGCUCGGCUCGCCAGCGAUGGGGAUGCUCGGCGGGCAGUCCCUGCUCUCAUUUUCCUCCAGCCUCUGGUAACCCUCCUCCUCACCUGCCUCGUCGAAGCGGGAUUCACAGGGAGCAUCAGGUACAUCUAAUGUGGGGAUGAACCAUCAGCUAAAGGGAGUGAUAGGAAAAUAUUUUGUUGAGUGCAAUGGGAAGGCGAAAAACGACACGCCUUGGCGAAGCAACUCUGAGAUUCGGUAAGGCUAAUCAAUUCUGCAAUCAAAUCCAAGAGCAGGGGCAGAGAAAAACGUUAAAAAUACUUUUUAGCUAUUGAUUGAAGUGACUGGUAAUUAGUAGCAGGAGCAACAGUUGUAGUAAGAACCUACCUAGGCAUAUUUUCUCUCUUUCCUAUCACAUGGCACAUUGAAUAACUUUAUAGUACAAAUACAUUCACAUAUGUUAUUUUAAAUUAUCAUGUCAUGGAGGUUCUCAUUAUUUCGAAUCUUUGGUUGGAACCUUCAUUUUGUGUUAUUAAAUGCACAUGGUAUUCAGUUAUCUCCAUUAUGGUGAGAAGAUUUUGAUCUUGAUAUAUCAGAUUUAAGCCUCCUACACCAUAGGAGGUCCUCCUUUUGGUGAUAUUCACUCAUAUGUCAUUUUAAAUUAUCAUGUCAUGGAGGUGCUGGGUAUUUCGAAUCUUUGGUUGGAACCUUCAUUUUGCGUUAAAUUCACAUGGUAUUCAGUUAUCUCCAUUAUUGCCAGUAGCAACGCACAAGCACUUUCUAUUAAAUGCACAUGCUAUUUUCUUUUGUAUCAUGUCAUUUUGUGGUCAUUAACAAUCAGGUGGAUGAAACUGAUCUUGUUUUAUGCAUCAUUGAUUUUCCUCAACUGAAUGAGUAGAAACAUUAGUAUGUAAUGUAGUAGCCCCUCUAUUCCAUUGUUAUAAAUAUUAUAGUUUUUCAAUCUGCUGACCAGAUCGUAACAGCUGUUUAAAAGGAAGUGAUCACAUCACUAUUUAGAUUUUACUUUUUUUGCAUGCUUAAACAUAAGAUUAGUUUGUCCCCUUUCUUUUUACCCUUCAUGCUAACAUAAUAAAUACAUAUUUGAACUGAAUUGGUUGUAUUACAUAUGCCACGAAGGACGUCGCCGCUUGAAGCUCGAUUUCCAUCAAGCCCUCUUUUAAUUCACUUGCAUUGUUUCAGCUUUGCGUUGUACUUCUUUGACGAAUUACCUCAUCUAAUUGGCUUUAAUUUGGAGCGUCAGUCUUACUAAUUAUCAUUGCCUUAACUUUCCAUAUGAACCUCUUACAGGAAACAAGGACUCCUAGUUGUCUGUAGUACUGCCCAUGAGACUCAACCUUGUUUUACCUUAAUUGUCAUGGUGUGCCUUUUUUUAGAAUAGCUCACGAUUUUGUUAGUGGUAAUAAAAUGCAUCUUUAGGCACAACUAUAGCGCACAUGUGAUGAUGUACAGAUGAAAGAAAGAUCCUAGAAGCUGAGAAGAUGAGAGCUGGAGGAACAAGGAGAAGCUAAAAAGACAGAAGAAGUCAGAGCAUGUGGAGGUGUUGGGCAAGCAGAGUUCUAUCUGGGUAUUUAGGUAGCCGAGGAUAAAAGGGAAAAGGAAAAUGUUGACGAUAUAGUUACUCAAUGCUGAGAAUGUUGCCUGCAUACUUUGUUGCCUAUAUAUCAUUGGCUUUGUAUUGAUCCAGGCAAGAACAAAUCAGACGAAACAAGUUUGCUACGGGUGGGUGUGCAUCAAGCCGCUUCGUUGCCGGCGGCGAGUAAUCUCACACAUGUUUAUGGCGCAUAUGUACCAGAAAAUUCAAAUGGUUCUGAUCAUACGUGCAAGGGGAAUCAGGUAGGGCUUGAUGCACCUUUCAUACAAAAUGUUGAUGAGAAUUACCCAAGUAGUCCAGAUGCAUGUCAGGUUGUUCGCUUGGUCUGCGCCAACGAGCAUCUCCUACAAGUCAUCAUCUCUCUCUUUGUCGGCUCCAUGUUGUAGCCUGCUAGGAGUCCUACCUUGCCAUGGAGCAUGUCCUUUGUCAUGGGUCGUACUGAGGUGGGUAUACUGAAGCAGACCCCUUAUAAUUAUGAACGGUUUAUAAAGUUGAAGGAUGAAACUCGAAUGAACACAAUUCUGAGGUUUGUAAAGUGAAGCCAAAGACAAGUUCGAGGGGUAAUAUGGACUUCUCUCAAACUAUAUUAUCAGAGGACAAUGAGGGUCUUGAAGACAAUGAAAGCGAUGAGUUUCUGCUGGUUCUGUUUUGUUGUAGGCGAAGUUCUUAAUUAUAAUUAUCAAUGUGUUUGUUUUUCUUAAGGACGCAGUGACAUGCAAGGCAAGGGAAAUUGAAGCCAAAACAUGCAGGACGGCCAGGAGUGUGCCGUUUUUUCUAUGACAUGGGGUGGUUCUUCAAUCUUCACGGAAUCAAGCGGUAGCAUCAGAUGCUGACAUGCAUGGAAGGUAACUACUCCAUGAUUAUAACAGUAAACAUUGAUAAGAGUACAAGCAUUGGAGGAGUACUCACCACGUUCGAGGAAGUCGUCAUCAUGGUGGUGGUGGUCGAGGAAGUCGUAGGUGCUGGUGGCAUCAUCACGGAGCAGGCACUAUCUUCUCCUCGACUUAAAAUGUAGUACUCCAUGUACUCCCACUUGUUAACUUUCUGAAAUGUAGAUCCACUCCAAGAAUGUGCUCUGAAAUGGAAGUAACAUGGAGUAUACUCUAAAAAUCAGUAUGGUUUGAGCCCACUAGAUCAAUCAAAGUUCUCCAGCAUGAUGAAAAGAAUA